rnacentral:rRNA from 1 species
AACGUACGCUGGCGGCACGCCUAACACAUGCAAGUCGAACGAAGUAGCAAUACUUAGUGGCAGACGGGUGAGUAACAUGUAGGUAUCUGCCCUUUGGCCUGGAAUAACACGAGGAAACUUGUGCUAAUACCGGAUAAGUCUUUACGGAGAAAGCUUUAUGCACCAUUGGAUGAGCCUGCACUUGAUUAGUUUGUUGGUGGGGUAAUGGCCUACCAAGACUGUGAUCAAUAGCUGAUUUGAGAGGAUGAUCAGCCACAUUGGGACUGAGACACGGCCCAAACUCCUACGGGAGGCAGCAGUGGGGAAUCUUGCACAAUGGAGGAAACUCUGAUGCAGCGAUGCCGCGUGAGUGAAGAAGGCCCUUGGGUUGUAAAGCUCUUUCGUCGGGGAAGAAAAUGACUGUACCCGAAUAAGAAGGUCCGGCUAACUUCGUGCCAGCAGCCGCGGUAAUACGAAGGGACCUAGCGUAGUUCGGAAUUACUGGGCUUAAAGAGUUCGUAGGUGGUUGAAAAAGUUGGUGGUGAAAUCCCAGAGCUUAACUCUGGAACUGCCAUCAAAACUUUUCAGCUAGAGUAUGAUAGAGGAAAGCAGAAUUUCUAGUGUAGAGGUGAAAUUCGUAGAUAUUAGAAAGAAUACCAAUUGCGAAGGCAGCUUUCUGGAUCAUUACUGACACUGAGGAACGAAAGCAUGGGUAGCGAAGAGGAUUAGAUACCCUCGUAGUCCAUGCCGUAAACGAUGUGUGUUAGACGUUGGAAAUUUAUUUUCAGUGUCGCAGGGAAACCGAUAAACACACCGCCUGGGGAGUACGACCGCAAGGUUAAAACUCAAAUGAAUUGACGGGGACCCGCACAAGUAGUGGAGCAUGUGGUUUAAUUCGAAGAUACGCGCAGAACCUUACCAACACUUGACAUGUUCGUCGCGACUCUAAGAGAUUAGAGUUUUCGGUUCGGCCGGACGAAACACAGGUGCUGCAUGGCUGUCGUCAGCUCGUGUCGUGAGAUGUUGGGUUAAGUCCCGCAACGAGCGCAACCCUCACUUUUAGUUGCCAUCAUUAAGUUGGGCACUCUGAAAGAACUGCCAGUGAUAAGCUGGAGGAAGGUGGGGAUGACGUCAAGUCCUCAUGGCCCUUACGUGUUGGGCUACACACGUGCUACAAUGGUAUCUACAACAGGAAGCAAGACUGCGAAGUUAAGCAAAUCCCUAAAAGAUACCUCAGUUCGGAUUGCACUCUGCAACUCGAGUGCAUGAAGCUGGAAUUACUAGUAAUCGUGGAUCAGCGUGCCACGGUGAAUGCGUUCCCGGGUCU